rnacentral:rRNA from 1 species
GCCUACGGGGGGCAGCAGUGGGGAAUUUUGCGCAAUGGGGGAAACCCUGACGCAGCAACGCCGCGUGCGGGACGAAGGCCCUCGGGUCGUAAACCUCUGUCAGCAGGGAAGAACGGUCACUGUGCUAAUCAGCAGUGAAUUGACGGUACCUGCAAAGGAAGCACCGGCUAACUCCGUGCCAGCAGCCGCGGUAAUACGGAGGGUGCGAGCGUUAAUCGGAAUUACUGGGCGUAAAGCGCUCGUAGGCGGUAUGUCAAGUCAAGGGUGAAAUCCCCGCGCUCAACGUGGGAACUGCCUUUUAAACU